UACGUAGGGUGCAGGCGUUAAUCGGAAUUACUGGGCGUAAAGCGUGCGCAGGCGGUUCGUUGUGUCGGCGGUGAAAGCCCCGGGCUUAACCUGGGAAUGGCCGUUGAAACUGGCGAACUGGAGUGUGGCAGAGGGGGGUGGAAUUCCGCGUGUAGCAGUGAAAUGCGUAGAGAUGCGGAGGAACACCGAUGGCGAAGGCAGCCCCCUGGGCUAACACUGACACUCAGGCACGAAAGCGUGGGGAGCAAACAGG
rnacentral:rRNA from 1 species